rnacentral:lncRNA from 13 species
CAGAAGGAGCACCUGCAAGUGAUUUGGGAGGGACUGAACUGCCACACCGGAAAUUUACAAAAGGGUAAAGAGCCGCAAAGCCAAGCUUGGGUCUUGUGUAAAUGUAAAUCACCUACACACUGGCCUGACUACCAAAAACAUUGUUUCCCCGGAACAGGUAUCCAGGUGGCUAAUUGGUUUUCUGGAGGUGAGAGUAAACACCAAACGCUCGCCCCAUCAUAUUUUAUCCCAAUUUUACCUGUCACUAAGAAAAGGACACGUCUAAUCCAGUACACCAAAAAAAAAAAGUCUUUUUCCCUUCUGGGAGGGCAUCGGUUUGGAGUCAUUCGCAGGGGCUGGGAGUGCAGGAGGAGGAAGGGGCGUGGAAUCCAGGAGUGCUCGGAGGCGGCAGCGAGGGUUUUUCCACAGGGCCCCACGCAGGCCACUGCAGAGGGAGAACGGGAAAAGAGGGGAGGAUGUCUCACCCGGGAAAAAACCCGAGUGCAGAGGCUGGAGGAGGGAAGGCUCCACCGGGCCGCGAGCCGGAGUGCAGCCCAGGGCGACCGCGGCUGGUUACCUCCGGAGGCAAGGGAAAGGGGCGCCCGGGAACGGAGGUCUGCAGAGGAGGCGGGGAGGGCCGGGGCAGGGGACCCGCCAAGUGCGAAGCGGGGACGAGGACGGGCCAACGGCAGGACUCGGCCUCCCCUGACCAAAGGCGUGGCCAGGGAUCCAGAUCAAACGCUGGUGUUUUGGAGACGCCAGGGGCGGCGCGCGGCAGUCCCUCCUUGGAACCCCCAGCGCCCGGCCCAUCCGAGAGGCCGCCCCGCGAGGCACUGGGAGGACGGAGGGGUCUCCGCAGGGCCGGCCCGCCCCCACCCCGUAGUGCUCUUACCUCCACACCUGCCCCAUCUGCAGCAGGUGGAUGACCGACUGCCAGAUCCACACGGAGAGGCGGCACAGGCGCUGCGCCCCCGGCGUGGCCGAGACCGCUGCGCCGUGGCCGUAGCCGGCCCCCAUCAUGGGGGGGCCCCGGCUGCUGAGCCCCUCCACGGCGCCCAGCCCGCCGCCCGUGUAGUCCUGCACGAACCAGCGGAAGCUCAGGCUCUGCACCAGCAGCGACGGCACCAGCACGAAGAAGAGGGUCAGCCCGAAGUAGACGUAGUCCCCCUUGCGGUAGUAGUCGAGGGCCAGCCACAGGUCGGUGCCCACGUCCCCGAAGAACACGAGCAGCGCCAACACGAUCCACAGGCAGUCGAGCCACGGCCGCUCCACCUGCGGCGGCUGCGGCCGCGCGGCCGAGGGCGUCGGGGGUUGGCGGUCGGCGCCGGGGGCCGCGGGAGGCUGCAGCGGCUGGUCCCCCCCGUCGGCGGCGGCGCUGCGGCGCGGCUUCCUGCCCAGGAGGGAGCGCAGGCAGGCGGAGCGGCAGCCCCAGUAGCACGAGGAGGUGUUGCAGCAGUGGCAGAUGUGCAGCGAGCUGCUCUCGCCGGGCUCGCUGCCGUCGCCGCCGCCGCCGCAGCCGCCUCCCCCGGGCUCCCCGUCCUCCUCGCCGCCGCUGCCCACCGCCUCGUCCAGGUUGUGCAGCUGAGCGAAGCCCACCCCCACGCCACCGCCAUCGGAUUUCGCCGCCAUCUUGACUCUCUUCCCAGCUCCGGAGGUUGGGGGGGAGGGACGGCGGGGGGGGGAAGAAGGCAGGGAACGGGGAGGGGGGGAAACGAAUGGAGAGGAAGGGGGGCGGGGAGGAAGCGGGGGAGCAAACGAACGAGGGGGGAGUGGGCCAGGGAACCCCCUCCGCUUCCGGGUAGUUGGCGUCACUUCCGGGCGAGCCCCCCAAUCGCACGGCGCCCGCAGCUCCCCAGCCCUACCCUCCCGGCCAAGAUGGCCGCCCUCCUGUGCCUCAGCUGCUGGGCGGGGGACCGGGGGGUUCUCCCCGCCAGGGCUCCCCUUCCCCUCUUCCGUUGA